GACGAACGCUGGCGGCGUGCUUAACACAUGCAAGUCGAACGGAAAGGCUCCAGCUUGCUGGAGUACUCGAGUGGCGAACGGGUGAGUAACACGUGGGUAAUCUGCCCUGCACUCUGGGAUAAGCCUGGGAAACUGGGUCUAAUACUGGAUAUGACCUUUCUCCUUAUGGGGUUUGGUGGAAAGUUUUUCGGUGUAGGAUGAGCCCGCGGCCUAUCAGCUUGUUGGUGGGGUGAUGGCCUACCAAGGCGACGACGGGUAGCCGGCCUGAGAGGGUGAUCAGCCACAUUGGGACUGAGAUACGGCCCAGACUCCUACGGGAGGCAGCAGUGGGGAAUAUUGCACAAUGGGCGGAAGCCUGAUGCAGCGACGCCGCGUGAGGGAUGACGGCCUUCGGGUUGUAAACCUCUUUCAGCAGGGACGAAGCGUAAGUGACGGUACCUGCAGAAGAAGCACCGGCUAACUAUGUG
rnacentral:rRNA from 1 species